GAUAAUAAUACUUCGGGUUCGGAUAAAUUUGUAUUGCAUCCUACAACAUGUAAAUUAAUUAUAUAUGAUUUCGUUUCUUUUUUUUUGUUUGGUUUUGGGUUACACUGAAUUAAAAUACAAAAUUUUUUUAGGGCUUAUAUGUUUGUUUUUCGAUAUAUACAUUUAGUUUUAAAGAAAUAUUAGAUUUUGACCCACGCUUAAGAAGCGUGGAUAUUUUUUUGGUGACCGUAAACUCAAACAUUAAAUGAAUUUAUAUUUAUUAUUAGAUAUCUAAAAUAUUUAAAAGCUGUUCUAUUAUUAUUAUUUCAGUCCGGUAAAAUGUUUUCAUAUCCGAAUCAGACUUGUGGUCGAGCCGUAAGAUCUAGUAACUCAUAUAUAACAGGAUAGAAUAUAAUAAAAUGAAUAUAGUAAAAGUAUCUGAAAAUCAAAAAGACCGUUAUUAAC
rnacentral:lncRNA from 1 species